GAUGAACGCUGGCGGCGUGCCUAAUACAUGCAAGUCGAGCGAACAGACGAGGAGCUUGCUCCUCUGACGUUAGCGGCGGACGGGUGAGUAACACGUGGAUAACCUACCUAUAAGACUGGGAUAACUUCGGGAAACCGGAGCUAAUACCGGAUAAUAUAUUGAACCGCAUGGUUCAAUAGUGAAAGACGGUUUUGCUGUCACUUAUAGAUGGAUCCGCGCCGCAUUAGCUAGUUGGUAAGGUAACGGCUUACCAAGGCAACGAUGCGUAGCCGACCUGAGAGGGUGAUCGGCCACACUGGAACUGAGAAACGGUCCAGACUCCUACGGGAGGCAGCAGUAGGGAAUCUUCCGCAAUGGGCGAAAGCCUGACGGAGCAACGCCGCGGGAGUGAUGAAGGUCUUCGGAUCGUAGAACUCUGUUAUUAGGGAAGAACAAAUGUGUAAGUAACGAUGCACGUCUUGACGGUACCUAAUCAGAAAGCCACGGCUAACUACGUG
rnacentral:rRNA from 1 species